rnacentral:rRNA from 1 species
UACGUAGGGUGCGAGCGUUGUCCGGAAUUAUUGGGCGUAAAGAGCUCGUAGGCGGCUUGUCGCGUCGGAUGUGAAAGCCCGGGGCUUAACUUCGGGUCUGCAUUCGAUACGGGCAGGCUAGAGUUCGGUAGGGGAGAUCGGAAUUCUCGGUGUAGCGGUGAAAUGCGUAGAUAUCGAGAGGAACACCUGCGGCGAAGGCGGGUUGCUGGGCCGACACUGACGCUGAUGCGCGAAAGCCAGGGGAGCGAACGGG